GACGAACGCUGGCGGCGUGGAUUAGGCAUGCAAGUCGGACGGUAGGGCUUUAUCGUAAGAUAGAGUUUGAGAGUGGCGAACGGGUGAGUAACACGUAGGAAUCUACCCUUAAGACGGGGACAACCCAGGGAAACUUGGGCUAAUACCGGAUGAGAGUGCGAGAGAUUGCAUUUAAAAGGAUGGCGAAAGUUAUCGCUUAGGGAUGAGCCUGCGGUCUAUUAGUUAGUUGGUGGGGUAAGAGCUCACCAAGGCGAUGAUAGAUAGGCGGCCUUAACGGGUGGUCGCCCACACUGGGAUUGAGAUACGGCCCAGACUCCUACGGGAGGCAGCAGUCGAGAAUAGUCUACAAUGGCCGGAAGGCUGAUAGUGCGACGCCGCGUGAACGAGGGAGCCCUUCGGGGUGUAAAGUUCUUUUCUAUACGAGCAGUGCUAUAUAUAUAGGAUAGUAUAUAUAGAGGGAUAGUAGUAUAGGAAUAAGAACGGCUAACUCCGUGCCAGCAGCCGCGGUAAA
rnacentral:rRNA from 1 species